AUACGGAGGGACCAAGCGUUGUUCGGAAUCAUUGGGCGUAAAGCGCGUGUAGGCGGCUUGGCAAGUCGGGCGUGAAAUCCCGGGGCUCAACCCCGGAACUGCACUCGAAACUGCUUGGCUAGAGUCCCGGAGAGGAAGGCGGAAUUCCCGGUGUAGAGGUGAAAUUCGUAGAUAUCGGGAGGAACACCAGCGGCGAAGGCGGCCUUCUGGACGGUGACUGACGCUGAGACGCGAAAGCGUGGGGAGCAAACAGGAUUAGAAACCCCAGUAGUCC
rnacentral:rRNA from 1 species